UACGAAGGGGGCUAGCGUUGUUCGGAAUUACUGGGCGUAAAGCGCACGUAGGCGGGUUGUUAAGUCAGGGGUGAAAUCCUGGAGCUCAACUCCAGAACUGCCUUUGAUACUGGCGAUCUUGAGUCCGGGAGAGGUGAGUGGAACUGCGAGUGUAGAGGUGAAAUUCGUAGAUAUUCGCAAGAACACCAGUGGCGAAGGCGGCUCACUGGCCCGGUACUGACGCUGAGGUGCGAAAGCGUGGGGAGCAAACAGG
rnacentral:rRNA from 1 species